rnacentral:rRNA from 1 species
UACAGAGGGGGCAAGCGUUGUUCGGAAUUACUGGGCGUAAAGGGCGCGUAGGCGGCCUGUUAAGUCGAACGUGAAAUCCCCGGGCUCAACCCGGGAACUGCGUCCGAUACUGGCAGGCUUGAAUCCGGGAGAGGGAUGCGGAAUUCCAGGUGUAGCGGUGAAAUGCGUAGAUAUCCGAAGGAACGCCGGUGGCGAAAGCGACGUGCUGGAUCUCUUCUGACGCUGAGGCGCGAAAGCCAGGGUAGCGAACGGG